CCUACGGGAGACAGCAGUGAGGAAUAUUGGUCAAUGGCCGUAAGGCUGAACCAGCCAAGUCGCGUGAAGGAAGAAGGAUCUAUGGUUUGUAAACUUCUUUUAUAGGGGAAUAAAGGUAUCCACGUGUGGAUAUUUGCAUGUACCCUAUGAAUAAGCAUCGGCUAACUCCGUGCCAGCAGCCGCGGUAAUACGGAGGAUGCGAGCGUUAUCCGGAUUUAUUGGGUUUAAAGGGUGCGUAGGUUGUUUUUUAAGUCAGCGGUGAAAGUUUGUGGCUCAACCAUAAAAUUGCCGUUGAAACUGGAAGUCUUGAGUGUGUUUGAGGUAGGCGGAAUGCGUGGUGUAGCGGUGAAAUGCAUAGAUAUCACGCAGAACUCCGAUUGCGAAGGCAGCUUACUAAGCCAUAACUGACACUGAAGCACGAAAGCGUGGGGAUCAAACAGGAUUAGAUACCCGAGUAGUC
rnacentral:rRNA from 1 species